GACGAACGUUGGCGGCGUGCCUAAUACAAGCAAGUAUAACGCAGUUGCGCACGGGUGAGUAACGCGUCUGUCACCUGCCUCAUAGCGGGGGAUCACUAUUGGACACUCUAGCUAAUACCGCUUACUGUGCGCUGGACCUGCGUUGGAUUAGCUAGUUGGUGAGGUAAAGGCUCACCAAGGCGACGAUACAUAGCCGGCCUGAGAGGGGGAUCGGCCACACGGGGACUGGGACACGGCCCAGACUCCUACCGGAGGCAGCAGGAGGGAAUCGUCGGCAAUGGACGGAAGUCUGAACAAGCAACGCCGCGUGAGUGAAGAAGGUUUUCGGAUCGUAAAGCUCGGUUGUUAGAGAAGCGGUAACUAAACAGAAAGGGACGGCUAACUACGUGCCAGCAGCCGCGGUAAUAC
rnacentral:rRNA from 1 species